rnacentral:rRNA from 1 species
GACGAACGCUGGCGGCGUGCUUAACACAUGCAAGUCGAACGGAAAGGCCCCUUUGGGGGUACUCGAGUGGCGAACGGGUGAGUAACACGUGAGUAACCUGCCCUUGACUUCGGGAUAACUUCAGGAAACUGGGGCUAAUACCGGAUAGGAAUCCUUGCUGCAUGGUGGGGGUUGGAAAGCUUCGGCGGUUUUGGAUGGACUCGCGGCUUAUCAGCUUGUUGGUGGGGUAGUGGCUUACCAAGGCGUUGACGGGUAGCCGGCCUGAGAGGGCGACCGGCCACAUUGGGACUGAGAGACGGCCCAGACUCCUACGGGAGGCAGCAGUGGGGAAUAUUGCACAAUGGGCGGAGGCCUGAUGCAGCAACGCCGCGUGCGGGAUGACGGCCUUCGGGUUGUAAACCGCUUUCAGCAGGGGCGAAGCUUGUGGUGACGGUACCUGCAGAAGAAGCACCGGCUAACUACGUG